UACGUAGGGUGCAAGCGUUGUCCGGAAUUAUUGGGCGUAAAGAGCUCGUAGGCGGUUUGUUGCGUCGGCUGUGAAAUCCCGAGGCUCAACCUCGGGUCUGCAGUCGAUACGAGCAAACUAGAGUGUUGCAGGGGAGACUGGAAUUCCUGGUGUAGCGGUGAAAUGCGCAGAUAUCAGGAGGAACACCGGUGGCGAAGGCGGGUCUCUGGGCCGUUACUGACGCUGAGGAGCGAAAGCAUGGGGAGCGAACAGG
rnacentral:rRNA from 1 species